CCAACUAAGUCAGCUUGGGCCCUGCCUGGCCCCCACCCACUGAGCUCAGUCACAUCAGCCCCUCCCUGUGGGGUGUCCCACAGCAGUCAGCUGCUGCUUGCAGUUCAUUGGUGGGGACCACAUACCAGCCACCCCUGGAGCUGGAGUUCAAACGUGGACCUCCUAGCAUGUGUUUGAUCAGCUGAGGCCAAAUCCACAACCUUCUAGGAAAUGGCGCCUACCAGCUCAGCUGUUCUCUGGAGCAACCGGGGACUUAUGGCCAAACAGCCAAGGCAUGAAACUCGGAAAGGAGCCCUAGUGGCUGAGGAUUGGUCUACUUCUGGCCCAAGAAAUAUUUCACAAGUGACUUCACUAGGUCCUGUGUCCUGACACUCUGAUGGCUGUGUCCUUCCCAGGUUCUCACCUGGGCCAGACUCUAGCACUUAUAUGCAUAACCAAAGCUGAUUAAAGCAACAAUACACC
rnacentral:lncRNA from 1 species